rnacentral:rRNA from 1 species
AAAAUAAAAAUUAAUUAUUUAUAUUAUAAUAAAAAUAAUUUUAAUAUUAAAAUAAAGGGGGUUUAAGUAUUUUAAUAGAAAAAAUUAAAAAUUUUAUAAUAAAUUAGUAUAGUAAUAGAAAUUUGAAAUAGUUGAAAAUAAAAUUAUUAAAAAGUAAAUUUUAUUUAUUGUAUCUUGUGUAUCAGAGUUUAUUAAAUAAAUUAUAAAGAUAAUAUAUAUAUCUCGAAUUUAAAAGAGUUAAUUAAUUAAUAAAUUUAAUGUAAAAUAAUUAUUUUAAAUAAUUAAUUAGAAAUGAAAUGUUAAUCGUUUUUAAAUAUAUCUAGUUUUUUUAGAAAAAAAUUUAAUUUUAAAUUUAUUAUUUAUUUAAAUUAAAUAGUUAAUUUAAAUAAAUAAUAAAUUUUAUAAUUUAAGGGAUAAGCUUUAAAUUAAAAAAUUAUAAAAAUAUUUAAGUAUUUAAAAUUUUUAAAAUUUAUAUUGUUUAAAAAUUAAAAUUUUUUAAAAAAUAUUUUAAAAUAAAUAAAAUUUAAAUUUAAUUUAAUUUUUUAUAAAAAUAUAAUUUUUAAUAAAAAAAAUAAUUAGAAAUAAUGAUAAAAUUAGUAUAAAUAAAGUAAUAUAAAUAAAAUGAUUUAUAAAAUUAAAUAAAAGGAAUUCAGCAAAAAUUUAUAUUCACCUGUUUAACAAAAACAUGUCUUUUUGAUUUAAUUUAAAGUCUAAUCUGCCCACUGAUUAUAAAUUAAAGGGCUGCAGUAAUUUGACUGUACAAAGGUAGCAUAAUCAUUAGUCUUUUAAUUGAAGACUUGUAUGAAUGAUUUGAUGAAAUAUAUACUGUCUCUAAUUUAUAUUUAAAAUUUAAUUUUUUAGUUAAAAAGCUAAAAUAUUUUUAAAAGACGAGAAGACCCUAUAGAGUUUUAUAAUUUAUAAAUUAGAAUAUUUAUAUAAAAUUUUAAUAUUAUAUUUUAUAAAUUAUUUUAUUGGGGUGAUAAAAAAAUAAAAUGAACUUUUUUUUAGUAUAUCAAAAAUAAUUGAAUAAAUGAUCCAAAUUAAUGAUUAAAAGAAAAAAUUACCUUAGGGAUAACAGCGUAAUAUUUUUUUUUAGUACAAAUAAAAAAAAAAGUUUGCGACCUCGAUGUUGGAUUAAGAUAAAAUUUAAAUGCAAAAGUUUAAAAUUUUGAUCUGUUCGAUCAUUAAAAUCUUACAUGAUCUGAGUUCAAACCGGUGUAAGCCAGGUUGGUUUCUAUCUUUAAAACAAUAAAAUAUUUUAGUACGAAAGGAUCAAAUAUUUAAAAUAAUUUUUUUUUUUUGGAAUAUUAUUAAUAAUAAGUUAUAUAUAUAUAUAUAUAUGUAUAUAUAUGUAUA